rnacentral:lncRNA from 13 species
CUCCUAAGCCAAGCUCCCACAGACACGGAGGGAGACUUGCAGCAGUUGUUUGCUGCUGUGUUACGCAAACACUUGGGGUUCAGUGUUUUCAUAAAGAAAAGACUCUUUGACACAUGUAUGAUGCCAUAAUGUGAGCACAGUGGAUCUCACUCAGCAAAUAUUCAGGUACUACCUUUGCUCAGCCUGUCAUUCAGUGAUGAGCCCAUGACAUGAACUCUGACCGCUGAGAAAUGAUGGGUGUCACUUCCAGACACAACCAGUGAAGGGCUUUGUGCAGCUUCCAACCCCUCUCCCUUGCUGUAGUGGCUCUGGAGGCCUAGAAUCCCAGAAGUUACGGGUAAAACGUAUGGGAGGUGUGCCUGACCAACAUCAAUCCUUGUAUGAUUCGUAAAUUACAUUUUACUCUGGCACCUUCAUCAGGAAUCGCCUUCAUCCAUUUCAAAGCCCAGCCACUACAGUGCGUGUCAACAGAGAAACAGGUGGUAACAAAAGAAUAUUCUUUCAUGCCCAGUUCUCGUGUAGCCAAGGAAGUGGAUGAGGAAGCAUGGACCUCCCAGCGUGUGGAGCCAAGAUCAACUAGAGACCUGCUCCAAGGCAGCAAGACACUGGGAUGGUUGACAUAAUGCUGUCUGACAACUAGCUGGGGGUCUUCACAAUGUUUGUCCAAACAGAUUUCAGAAUUUUUAUUAAGCACUGAUGGCUGAGUGCUGCCCUCCUUCCCCUUUCUGAAUGAGAGUAUUUAUCGAGACUACCCUGCCCCAAUAUUGCACGUGGAUUGUGUGUGGGGCAGCCAACAUAUCUUUUAAAUCUCUAGAUAACAAGGAACCUAUACGCUAAAGUUAAAGUGCCAUAUGAGAUACAAGACUUGAAGUCUCAUGGUGUGAUUAGAUGACACAGUGGGGGCUGCACUCAGAGGAGGGAGUGAAUUCUGCUACUUAAGGGAAAUGUAGCAAUAUUUGUAAACAGAGUUUCACUCUGGUUGAUUCAGUCGUUUUUGAUUGUUCUCUUGCCCGUCCCUGUAAAAAGGACACACUUUAUGUCCCAAAGACAUUGUGCUUGGGCUAAAACUGCCUUUGGAACGGGAGCUGAAGUGGUGGUGGCCAUAUCCAAAUAGAUACUUGAAGCCAUGCAUCCAAAGAUGAGGAUUCCUCUUCCCUCUGCUGUAAGAAUGUGGUGCGUUUGGCUCCUAGAUCCCAAAAGAUGCAUGAAACAAAGCUGUGGUCAACCGUUGUUAUUUUACACAUGAACGAGAAG